GCUUGAAUAGGAGAAAUGAAAAGAAAGAUAAGAAUCUAGCCUUUGCUUCAAAAAGUGUUGCUGAUGAUUCACAAAAUGAAUCUGAAAGUGAAGAAAGUUUAUCUGAGUCUAUUGCUAUGCUAAGGAGACAGUUCAACAAGUUAAUGAAGAAGAUGGACCAGAGGCCUAAGUCAAAUGGUCGUUUCAACAACAACAAACAGUCCAACUUUCAUAAGAAGA
rnacentral:lncRNA from 1 species